UUUAACUGUUUAUAGAUGCAAAACACAAUUUAAGCUGUACACUUGCAAUCAUCAAGAUAAAUAUAUACUCCGGUUCAACAUUCCCAACAAACUUUGAAAAUUAACUGUCCUGUUCAAUAAACAGACUAGCUAACAUUUCAGCUACUCAGGUAGCAACGUCUAUGUUGUACAAAUAUAAGUAGAAUGCACUAUAAACUACUAUAGAAAACCGACAACUUCCCUGUUGGAUAUUAAGUCUACUGACUACAGGCAAAGUCAAGAAGGCAGCAUGUUGGGUAUAUCUUCAUAAGUAAAUGCUAAAAUAGUCCUUAAUAUGCUAUAUUCUGUAGCUGUGACUUCACAACAGCUCAUACACAUAGAUUAUAUCUGUCAUGUAUACCGAGGUUGUGUCCUAACAUCACUCAUACAUUGUAUACUAAUUUUAGAGUUCUGUUUCCUGUUGUGGCAAACGUGCCUAUGCCUCAAGCUCCUGGAGGAGCCUGCUAGCUCGCCUCCUGCCCAAGGGCUAUUGUCCAUAUCCAAAGACCCUGUUCGGGAGUUAAAUCUCCCCAGCCGCCAUUAGCAGCUUUCCCUUGGUUCUAGCAGCCUUGAGUGCCGUGCAAAAACACACCCCUGCCUUAGACAAUUUUACACUUUCCCUUCAUUCAAAUGGAACUGAACACUAGCAUCCUGGUUGCCGUUCACAUGAAGAAACCCACAAAUUGUCCUUAGCCGCGAUCGAUAUGGAACUAAAUUCAACAUGAGGACUUUGGGGGUUCCCGGUCACCUCAGCGGGAAUUAGCCGCAAAUGUUAUGGAACUGUUUUUUGCAUGACAUGACCAUGCGGCUCCCAGACAACUUGGUCCAGGGUUUUGAACAACUUUACAACCCGCCAGAAGAGCGUUUUUUGGAGGGAAGGUGUCUGUGAUUAAGGGGAACAAAUGCUACCCGAGACCCAGGUGGAGAACCCCGUAUUGUGGCUGCAGGAGC